rfam:Paraburkholderia phenazinium strain GAS95 genome assembly, contig: Ga0132017_12
GCGCAAUCCGCCAAACGGUCAGGCCGUGUCGCGGAAGGUUUCGGUAACCCGCUAUUUCUCGAGAAACUCGAAGAAAGGUGAGCG